rnacentral:rRNA from 1 species
UACGUAGGGUGCGAGCGUUAAUCGGAAUUACUGGGCGUAAAGCGUGCGCAGGCGGUUCGCCAAGUCAGGUGUGAAAUCCCCGGGCUUAACCUGGGAAUUGCGCUUGAAACUAUCGGGCUUGAGUGUGGCAGAGGGGGGUGGAAUUCCACGUGUAGCAGUGAAAUGCGUAGAGAUGUGGAGGAACACCGAUGGCGAAGGCAGCCCCCUGGGUCAACACUGACGCUCAUGCACGAAAGCGUGGGGAGCAAACAGG